rnacentral:misc_RNA from 1 species
GUGAAUCAUCAAAUCUUUGAACGCAAAUUGCACUCUCUGGUAUUCCGGAGAGUAUGCCUGUUUGAGGGUCAGUAUAAUCCACAUCGGUGCGAUGCCUUUGGGUGUAGCACCGGAGUUUGGGUCAUCUUAACUCUUUAAGCGAUCUGAAAUCGACAUUCUUUUUUUGCUGCCUAUGAGAUGUACAUAUUUUUUUUUAUUAGUCUACCCUGGUGGCAAAAAUUUUAAUAGAUC